AUACGGAGGGUGCAAGCGUUACUCGGAAUCACUGGGCGUAAAGCGCGCGCAGGCGGUCUUUUAAGUUGGAUGUGAAAGCCUACGGCUCAACCGUAGAACUGCAUCCAAAACUAUUAGACUAGAGUGUGGGAGAGGAAGAUGGAAUUAGUUGUGUAGGGGUAAAAUCCGUAGAGAUAUCUAGGAAUACCAAAAGCGAAGGCAAUCUUCUGGAACACUACUGACGCUGAGGCGCGAAAGCGUGGGGAGCAAACAGGAUUAGAAACCCCAGUAGUCC
rnacentral:rRNA from 1 species